rnacentral:rRNA from 1 species
UACGAAGGGGGCUAGCGUUGCUCGGAAUCACUGGGCGUAAAGCGCACGUAGGCGGCUUUCUAAGUCAGGGGUGAAAUCCUGGAGCUCAACUCCAGAACUGCCUUUGAUACUGGAGAGCUUGAGUCCGGAAGAGGUGAGUGGAACUCCGAGUGUAGAGGUGAAAUUCGUAGAUAUUCGGAAGAACACCAGUGGCGAAGGCGGCGACCUGGGCAGAUACUGACACUGAGGUGCGAAAGCGUGGGGAGCAAACAGG